rnacentral:rRNA from 1 species
GAUGAACGCUGGCGGCGUGCCUAAUACAUGCAAGUCGAGCGAACAGAUAAGGAGCUUGCUCCUUUGACGUUAGCGGCGGACGGGUGAGUUACACGUGGAUAACCUACCUAUAAGACUGGGAUAACUUCGGGAAACCGGAGCUAAUACCGGAUAACAUAUUGAACCGCAUGGUUCAAUAGUGAAAGGCGGCUUUGCUGUCACUUAUAGAUGGUUCCGCGCCGUAUUAGCUAGUUGGUAAGGUAACGGCUUACCAAGGCAACGAUACGUAGCCGACCUGAGAGGGUGAUCGGCCACACUGGAACUGAGACACGGUCCAGACUCCUACGGGAGGCAGCAGUAGGGAAUCUUCCGCAAUGGGCGAAAGCCUGACGGAGCAACGCCGCGUGAGUGAUGAAGGUCUUCGGAUCGUAAAACUCUGUUAUCAGGGAAGAACAAAUGUGUAAGUAACUGUGCACAUCUUGACGGUACCUGAUCAGAAAGCCACGGCUAACUACGUG